CCCGCGUAAUUUAGGCAUAUUAGUAAGCGGAGGAAGAACUAACAAGGAUUCCCUUAGUAGCUGCGAGCGAACAGGGAAAAGCCCAGCACUGAAUCUCGGAGGCAUCGCCUUUUGAGAAAUGUGGUGUUUGGGAGGGUUCAUAUACCUGAUACCGUCGCACUGCGUCCAAGUCCAUCUUGAAAGAGGCCACGGUCCCGAGAGGGUGCCAGGCCCGUGGUAGGCCGGUGCAGGUGUUGGGUGAACCUCUCCUUAGAGUCAGGUUGCUUGAGAGUGCAGCCCUAAGCGGGUGGUAAACUCCAUCUAAGGCUAAAUACAACCACGAGACCGAUAGCGAACAAGUACCGUGAGGGAAAGUUGAAAAGAACUUUGAAGAGAGAGUUCAAGAGUACGUGAAACCGCUCAGGGGUAAACGGAAAAGACCCGAAAUUUCCGAAAAGGGAGAUUCACGUCUUCUCGCGGGUUCAACGCAUCCAUCUCUCUUCGACGGCUCUGCUCCCGUUCGGACUCGUCCGGUGCGUGGUAGUGGAGUUGCAGAGAGUGGUGUGAAGGCUCGCGGCGGACCGCACUUCUCCCUUAGUAGGACGUCGUGACCCGCCCGGCCAUGGUCUUACGGUCGUAGGGAGGAGCCUGUCCUUCGACGUGCUUGCACGUUUUUGGGCAGACCCCUGCGUCCCGGCCAUGGUUUCAUAACUGGACGGUAUCAAGUGACGGUGUUCAGCCUCUCUUCGGCAGAGGAAACUCUUGCCAGUGAGCGCGAUUUGACUCAUGACAAGGUGCGGAGAUGUUUCAGUCAAGGCGGGCUUCCGUCCGUCUGGCUGCUCUCUGCCCUGUUGGUUGUGGGACCUCUCGUUUGGCCUAUUUAGCACCCGUCUACGGCGAACCAGUUUUGGGUUCUUGUCCGACCCGUCUUGAAACACGGACCAAGGAGUUCAGCGUGUACGCGAGUCAUUGGGUGUUCAAACCUAAAGGCGUAAUGAAAGUGAAGGGAACUUCUCGUUUCUGAGGGAGGAUGAGCAGGUUACUCGCAAGAGGCCUCUCCGCACUCCCGGGGCGUCUCUUUCUCAUUGCGAGUGGAGGCGCACCCAGAGCGUACACGCUGAUACCCGAAAGAUGGUGAACUAUGCCUGGCCAGGACGAAGCCAGGGGAAACCCUGGUGGAGGUCCGCAGCGAUUCUGACGUGCAAAUCGAUCGUCGGAGCUGGGUAUAGGGGCGAAAGACCAAUCGAACCAUCUAGUAGCUGGUUCCCUCCGAAGUUUCCCUCAGGAUAGCUUGCGCUCACGUGAACGAGUCUCAUCCGGUAGAGCGAAUGAUUAGAGGCCUUGGGGUCGAAACGACCUCAACCUAUUCUCAAACUCCAAAUAGAUGAGAACUCCGGCUUCCUUGAAACUUUGUUUUUGAAGCCGGGGGCUUGGAUCAGAGUGCCAAGUGGGCCAAUUUUGGUAAGCAGAACUGGCGCUGUGGGA
rnacentral:rRNA from 1 species